AGAACCCCUGGGCAACACAACAUUCCAAAUCAGAACCUUGGAGGUGCGAACGUUCUCUCGCCCCUUUGCGAGGCGGUGCGCGCGCAGCCAUGGCGGUCAAGAUCAAGGUGGUUUAUUGUGGAGCCUGAGGCUACAAACCCAAGUUUCAACAGCUCAAGAAGGAACUCGAAAAAGAGUUUCCGGGCAAGCUGGAAAUUAGCGGCGAAGGGACUCCACAAGUCACAGGAUGGUUUGAAGUGAUGGUAGCUGGGAAGAUGGUGCACUCCAAAAAGAACGGAGAUGGCUUUGUGGACAACAAUGCCAAACUCAACAAGAUAAUCGAGGCCAUCAAAACAGCUUUGGCAUGAGGACGGCUUUAGGUCAUGGCUAGCAGCUCAAAAUGCAAGAGCUCAAGAUAAAAAUCUGUUUUGUUCAUCUUGGCAAAUCGCUCAAUGAUGGGAGCUGCUGAAAUGUUGCCCGACACCUGGCAGUUCCCUGAAAACUCUGCGCUGGAUGCCAACUUGAUCAAGGCUGGAUGGAAGAAUUUGUGCUCUAAUUCAGCGUUUGGGUGUGAAUUAAGUCUGCAAUUCCUAAUAUAUUUGUCUUCAGUUUUCAUUGUGUGCUGCAUGCAAAUAUGGCUUUCUUUGCGGUUCUUUUUUUAAAAAAAAAAUACUUGCAUUAUUGGCUAGUAAUUUUGAGAAAGGAUUACUGAAAAACAGGAAGAGUGGAAGAUUCAUCAAAUAUCUGCUUUCACCGUACACAAACACUUCCAAUGUAUGAUGGAACCCGAUGUAAAAAAACCUCUGCCUCAAAGUACAAUUUUAGAAUCCUAAAACAACUUGAAAAUGUGCAUUUUCUUUCUUUCCCACUGCUCCUAUCUUCCCUCUUUCAGAAUUGUGUGCUUUAUAACCACUUUUGACUUAUUUGCUCAAAUAUUGUCAAAUGCACUGAACAUUUAAUAAAAUGUUA